rnacentral:rRNA from 1 species
UGGGGAAUAUUGGACAAUGGGCGCAAGCCUGAUCCAGCCAUGCCGCGUGAGUGAUGAAGGCCCUAGGGUUGUAAAGCUCUUUCAGCGAGGAGGAUAAUGACGUUACUCGCAGAAGAAGCCCCGGCUAACUUCGUGCCAGCAGCCGCGGUAAUACGAAGGGGGCUAGCGUUGUUCGGAAUCACUGGGCGUAAAGCGCACGUAGGCGGACUUUUAAGUCAGGGGUGAAAUCCCGGGGCUCAACCUCGGAACUGCCUUUGAUACUGGAAGUCUGGAGUCCGAGAGAGGUGAGUGGAACUCCGAGUGUAGAGGUGAAAUUCGUAGAUAUUCGGAAGAACACCAGUGGCGAAGGCGGCUCACUGGCUCGGUACUGACGCUGAGGUGCGAAAAGCGUGGGGAGCAAACAGGAUUAGAUACCCUGGUAGUCCACGCCGUAAACGAUGGAAGCUAGCCGUCAGGGUGCAUGCAUCUUGGUGGCGCAGUUAACGCAUUAAGCUUCCCGCCUGGGGAGUACGGUCGCAAGAUUAAAAA